UUGUGUCAGUUUCAAUUGGUGUUGUUUUCAUUUAUGGCGGUUUGUUUACAUUUCGUUGCGGUUAUCAUCAGUUCCCGUGGUUCGAUAUUCGGUCGAGCUUUCUUUUCGUCAACCUCAUCGUGACGAUCGUGGUGCUCGGUGGACUGUUGGCAACGAUCGAAAAGCAUCUGCCCACUGCCAUCCGGCAGACGUUUGCUGCCCUCUGGUCGGUGGCCGGAUUUGCCGUCAUGAUGUAGCCAGCGCGGGACUACGUAAUCGCCUUCCUCGAUACGUUGGCAACCAACAAGCGUAUGGUGCGCACCACGCCUACCGAGACGAUGGCAUGACGGCAUGCCAUGACGCUGAUCACGCUGCAGUGUUUGCGCCGGUUCCACAAGACCUGGUUCGUGCAGGUGUUCUCGAGCAAGCUGAAAAUCACCCACCAGUUGUACGUGGAACACUUUCACAACUAUCCGAAGCAAGCUCGUCAGGAAAACACUCGUCCCGUUCGUUCUGUGAGAUCGACGGUGAGGGUGCGGAUAAUAUCGUUCCGGUUGUUGGGCUUUUUUUAGGAUCGAAAAAAUGGUAUGGUUGGUGUCCGGCUUUUUUUAGGUUGCUGGUUCCCGGCUGAUGGGAUUCAGCUGGUUUUCCUGGAUCUUCUGUGAAUGCCUUGUUCCACGGACCGGUCGUCGAUGCACUCGAGGUGCACCGCAUUGACGAGCGGCAGUAGCAGGAUGCAAUCGGCGCGGCCGAGCUGGCAGCGAAGCCGGUUCUCGGUGAGCCAUUCACGCCGAAUGAGGGCGGUCAAGAGCCGGCUGCAUACGUUCGAUAUAUUCGCUACGCGCACGAUCAAACUGUGUAACGAUGCCGAGUGUGUCCGGCCAUCGCGACUAGGAAGUUAAGUUGCGUCGUCUAUUGUGACACCUUUUCAUCAACAACUGGCAUGACUAUCGGCGCACGGUCGGUGGCUCUAGCGAAGGGGAGGGUGCGUUCCAAUCGGCUGGCAGGACACAGAUCGGAUCGGUUAGGACAACGAUCGGCAUAGUACGGCUCGCGACCCGCAUGUGGCUAUUUGUUGACUAGUUGCCUCUUCAAGUGCAAAUCUACGAACAUGUUUAGAAGAUUUGGCUCUUUCGGUCGCAACGUUUGCGGAGUCGCUGGGGAUAUUGGAUUGUAAGGAAUGAAUAUACUGUCCGCAGGAACCAGAUGAUGACAUCACCAAGGAGCUAAUGCGCUAAAGCUUACCAGGAGGAGGCGAGAAUGGUUUGAUGUUUUUGGCACAGCUCCCACGUAUCAUCCAUACCACACCAAAUCAUUAUGGCGCAGCCGUGAAUAUGUACAACGUCAUCCUGCUCGGGUAGGAUGGUGACGGUCUCCCGCUCGGUAUAUCUUGACGGCAGUAUAACGCAA